GUUGGGGUGGCAGAGCCUGGUAAGUGCGGGAGACCUAAGCCUUCCUUCUCGGAGGUUCAAAUCCUCCCCCUAACU
rnacentral:tRNA from 1 species